rnacentral:rRNA from 1 species
UACGUAGGUCCCGAGCGUUGUCCGGAUUUAUUGGGCGUAAAGCGAGCGCAGGUGGUUUAAUAAGUCUGAUGUAAAAGGCAGUGGCUCAACCAUUGUGUGCAUUGGAAACUGUUAGACUUGAGUGCAGUAGAGGAGAGUGGAAUUCCAUGUGUAGCGGUGAAAUGCGUAGAUAUGUGGAGGAACACCAGUGGCGAAGGCGACUCUCUGGUCUGUAACUGACGCUGAGGCUCGAAAGCGUGGGGAGCAAACAGG